rnacentral:hammerhead_ribozyme from 1 species
AUCCAGCUGAUCAGUCUCAAAUAAGACGAAACGUGUGUCCUGGAA